AUGGCCGGCUCCUCCAGCAUCGCGAACUCUAGCCUCUCUGGCCAGAUCACCGAAAAGCUGACCCGCACGAACUUCAUCCUGUGGCGCACGCAGAUCACGCCACAACUCCGAGGUGCGGGCUUCUUUGGCUACGUCGACGGCAGCAUGCCGGAGCCGGCCAAAUUCAUCAUCACCAAGGACAAGGAUGGGAAGGAGGAGUCUACACCGAACCCCCUUCAUCCGAGCUGGAUCCGUGAAGAUCAGCAGGUACUAGGAUACCUUCUGAAUAAUCUCUCCAAAGAGGUACUUGUGCAGGUCACAUCGAUCGGCCAUGCCCAUGAUCUCUGGACAGCACUGUCGAACAUGUUCUCGUCGCAGUUGUUGUCCCGCGUCAACAACAUACGCGUCGCCCUCGCCAAUGCACGCAAGGGGACGCAUUCUGUGGCAAGCUUCUUCGCGCACAUGCGCUCGCUUGCCGACGAGCUCGCGGCGGCGGGCAAACCGCUCGGUGACGACGAGCUGGCCUCCUACAUCACCGCUGGCCUCGACGUGGAGUACCAGCCGCUCAUCUCCGCGCUCGAUGCCCGUACAACACCGGUCUCCCUCGACCAUCUGUUUGCGAUGAUGAGCAACUUCGACCAGAGGGUCGCCCUCUAUCAGGGCGUGCACGGCGGCGGGUUCAAGUCCUCGGCCAACGCAGCCAUGCGUGGUCGUGGGGGCGGCUCUUGCCAUCGAGGACCGGCGCGCGGCAGGGGCCGCAACACCAACAACUCCCGCGGCAACAGCAGCGGUGGCGGCAGGCCCUCCUCCAACAACAACAGGGGCCGCCGCACAAACUCCAACUCCUCCAACAGAUCACGUCCAGAUGCCAUCCGCUGUCAGAUCUGCGGCAAACCUGGCCACUCGGCUAAGGAUUGUUGGUACAGGUAUGAAGAAGAUGAGGAUGAUUCAUCACAAGAUGAGAAGGUGGCCGGAGCAGCGGACGGGUCCUAUGGAGUGGACACAAACUGGUAUGUUGAUAGUGGUGCUACAAACCACAUCACCAGCGAGCUCGAGAAGGUGACCAUGAGGGAAAAGUACCGCGGUCAAGACCACAUCCACACUACAAGUGGAGAAGGUAUGAAGAUUUGUCAUGUUGGUCACACAAUUGUUAAAACCCCUAGCAGAAACAUUCAUCUUCGAAGAAUAUUGCAUGUUCCUAGUGCCUCAAAAAGUCUUCUUUCUGUUCAUCGUAUUGCUCUUGACAAUCAUGUCUUUCUUGAAUUUCACCCUUACUUCUUUUUGAUCAAGGAUCAAGAAACGAAGAAGGUGCUCUAUCGAGGUAGAUGUGUUCGUGGGCUCUACCCUUUGAUUCCGGAGAUUAGAAGAUUCAAUAAACAAGCUUUUAGUGCUACCAAAGUGUCUUCAACACGGUGGCAUGAUUGA
rnacentral:rRNA from 1 species